UACGUAGGCAGCAAGCGUUGUUCGGAAUUACUGGGCGUAAAGAGUGUGUAGGCGGUGCUCCAAGUCUGGUGUGAAAUCUCCCGGCUCAACUGGGAGGAUGCGCUAGAAACUGGAAUGCUAGAGGAUGGGAGAGGUAAGCGGAAUUCCUGGUGUAGCGGUGAAAUGCGUAGAUAUCAGGAGGAACACCUGUGGUGUAGACAGCUUACUGGACCAUUUCUGACGCUGAGACACGAAAGCGUGGGUAGCAAACAGG
rnacentral:rRNA from 1 species